CAUUUAGACAAAGCAGGGUUGCUCUAACCUGAGAGUUGCUUGGUACUGAAAGAUCCCAUGCAGAGAGACCCUUACUCAAGUCUUGGGAAAUCGCGGACCCCAGACACAGAGAGACCA
rnacentral:pre_miRNA from 14 species